rnacentral:rRNA from 1 species
CACUCCUGCGGGAGGCAGCAGUGGGGAAUAUUGCACAAUGGGCGCAAGCCUGAUGCAGCCAUGCCGCGUGUAUGAAGAAGGCCUUCGGGUUGUAAAGUACUUUCAGCGGGGAGGAAGGCGAUAAGGUUAAUAACCUUGUCGAUUGACGUUACCCGCAGAAGAAGCACCGGCUAACUCCGUGCCAGCAGCCGCGGUAAUACGGAGGGUGCAAGCGUUAAUCGGAAUUACUGGGCGUAAAGCGCACGCAGGCGGUCUGUCAAGUCGGAUGUGAAAUCCCCGGGCUCAACCUGGGAACUGCAUUCGAAACUGGCAGGCUAGAGUCUUGUAGAGGGGGGUAGAAUUCCAGGUGUAGCGGUGAAAUGCGUAGAGAUCUGGAGGAAUACCGGUGGCGAAGGCGGCCCCCUGGACAAAGACUGACGCUCAGGUGCGAAAGCGUGGGGAGCAAACAGGAUUAGAAACCCUAGUAGUCCCAUGAU